rnacentral:rRNA from 1 species
GAUGAACGCUGGCGGCGUGCCUAAUACAUGCAAGUCGAGCGAACAGACGAGGAGCUUGCUCCUCUGACGUUAGCGGCGGACGGGUGAGUAACACGUGGAUAACCUACCUAUAAGACUGGGAUAACUUCGGGAAACCGGAGCUAAUACCGGAUAAUAUAUUGAACCGCAUGGUUCAAUAGUGAAAGACGGUUUUGUUGUCACUUGUAGAUGGAUCCGCGCCGCAUUAGGUAGUUGGUGAGGGAACGGCUUACCAAGGCAACGAUGCGUAGGCGGCCUGAGAGGGUGACCGGGCAAAUGGGGACUGAUAGACGGCCCAGAAUCCUACGGGAGGCAGCAGUGGGGAAUAUUGCACAAUGGGCGGAAGCCUGAUGAAGAAACGCCGCGUGCGGGAUGACGGCCUUCGGGUUGUAAACCGCUUUCGCCUGUGACGAAGCGUGAGUGACGGUAAUGGGUAAAGAAGGAACGGAUAACUACGUG